AACGGGUGAGUAACACGUGAGUAACCUGCCCCGGACUCUGGGAUAAGCAUUCGAAAGGGUGUCUAAUACUGGAUAGGACCUUCACCUGCAUGGGUGGGGGUGGAAAGAUUUUUUGGUUCGGGAUGGGCUCGCGGCCUAUCAGCUUGUUGGUGGGGUGAUGGCCUACCAAGGCGUCGACGGGUAGCCGGCCUGAGAGGGCGACCGGCCACACUGGGACUGAGAUACGGCCCAGACUCCUACGGGAGGCAGCAGUGGGGAAUAUUGCGCAAUGGGCGGAAGCCUGACGCAGCAACGCCGCGUGCGGGAUGACGGCCUUCGGGUUGUAAACCGCUUUCACCCAUGACGAANUUUUUUGUGACGGUAGUGGGAGAAGAAGCACCGGCCAACUACGUGCCAGCAGCCGCGGUGAUACGUAGGGUGCGAGCGUUGUCCGGAAUUAUUGGGCGUANAGAGCUUGUAGGCGGUUUGUCGCGUCGGAAGUGAAAACUCGGGGCUUAACUUCGAGCUUGCUUCCGAUACGGGCUGACUAGAGGAAGUUAGGGGAGAACGGAAUUCCUGGUGGAGCGGUGGAAUGCGCAAAUAUCAGGAGGAACACCGGUGGCGAAGGCGGGUCUCUGGGACUUUUCUGACGCUGAGAAGCGAAGGCGUGGGGGAGCAACAGGCUUUAGAUACCCUGGUAGUCCACGCCGUAAACGGUGGGCACUAGGUGUGGGGGACA
rnacentral:rRNA from 1 species